UGUGAUCCAUGAGAGGAAAUCAAAAUACCAACAUUAACAGUUGUUUCAUGAACAGACACUUCUCAAAAGAAGACAUUUAUGCAGCCAAAAAACACAUGAAAAAAUGCUCACCAUCACUGGCCAUCAGAGAAAUGCAAAUCAAAACCACAGUGAGAUACCAUCUCACACCAGUUAGAAUGGCAAUCAUUAAAAAGUCAGGAAACAAC
rnacentral:lncRNA from 1 species